UACGUAGGGCGCAAGCGUUAUCCGGAAUUAUUGGGCGUAAAGAGCUCGUAGGCGGUUUGUCGCGUCUGCUGUGAAAGACCGGGGCUCAACUCCGGUUCUGCAGUGGGUACGGGCAGACUAGAGUGCAGUAGGGGAGACUGGAAUUCCUGGUGUAGCGGUGAAAUGCGCAGAUAUCAGGAGGAACACCCGUGGCGAAAGCGGCUCUCUGGGACGGUACUGACGCUGAGACGCGAAAGCGUGGGGAGCAAACAGG
rnacentral:rRNA from 1 species